GUCCACGCCGUAACGAUGCUAACUCGUUUUGGAUUUCGGUAUUCAGAGACCAAGCGAAAGUGAUAAGUUAGCCACCUGGGGAGGUACGUCCGCAAGGAUGAACUCAAAGGAAUUGACGGGGCCCGGCACAAGCGGUGGAUUAUGUGGUUUAAUUCGAUGAUACGCGAGGAACCUUACCAAGACUUAAAUGGGAAUUGACAGGUUUAGAAUAGACCCUUCUUCGGACAAUUUUCAAGGUGCUGCAUGGUUGUCGU
rnacentral:rRNA from 1 species